CAGUGGUUGUCGUCAGCUCGUGUCGUGAGAUGUUGGGUUAAGUCCCGCAACGAGCGCAACCCCUAUUGUUAGUUGCCAUCAUUCAGUUGGGCACUCUAGCGAGACUGCCGGUAAUAAACCGGAGGAAGUGGGAUGACGUCAAAUCAUCAUGCCCCUUAUGACCUGGGCUACACACGUGCUACAAUGGCCGGUACAGACGGACGCAAAGCCGCGAGGUGGAGCAAAUCCUAAAAAGCCGGUCUCAGUUCGGAUUGCAGGCUGCAAUUCGCCUGCAUGAAGUCGGAAUCGCUAGUAAUCGCAGGUCAGCAUACUGCGGUGAAUACGUUCCCGGGCCUU
rnacentral:rRNA from 1 species